CCAAUAGCGUAUAUUAAAGUUGUUGCAGUUAAAAAGCUCGUAGUUGAACCUUAGGCCCGUGCGGGCGGUCCGUCCUCUGGGCGAGCACUGCUCCGUCGCGGGUCUCACCUUCUGGCGAGCGUGGAUGCCAUUUAUUUGGUGUCCGCGGGAACCAGGACCUUUACCUUGAAAAAAUUAGAGUGCUCAAAGCGGGCUCCGACGCUUGAAUACAUUAGCAUGGAAUAAUGAAAUAGGACGAUGGUUCUAUUUUGUUGGUUUCCGGGACCGUCGUAAUGAUUAAUAGGGAUAGUUGGGGGCAUUCGUAUUCAAUUGUCAGAGGUGAGAUUCUUGGAUUUAUUGAAGACGAACUACUGCGAAAGCAUUUGCCAAGGAUGUUUUCAUUAAUCAAGAACGAAAGUUGGGGGAUCGAAGACGAUCAGAUACCGUCGUAGUCUCAACCAUAAACUAUGCCGACUGGGAAUCGGGCGAUGUUACUUUUCUGACUCGCUCGGCGCCCCGAG
rnacentral:rRNA from 1 species